rnacentral:rRNA from 1 species
UACGUAGGGUGCAAGCGUUGUCCGGAAUUAUUGGGCGUAAAGAGCUCGUAGGCGGUCUGUCGCGUCGGAUGUGAAAACCCGGGGCUUAACCCCGGGCCUGCAUUCGAUACGGGCAGACUCGAGUGUGGUAGGGGAGACUGGAACUCCUGGUGUAGCGGUGAAAUGCGCAGAUAUCAGGAAGAACACCGAUGGCGAAGGCAGUUCUCUGGGCCGUAACUGACGCUGAGGAGCGAAAGCGUGGGGAGCGAACAGG